rnacentral:rRNA from 1 species
UAACCUGCCUUACACAGGGGGAUAACACCUGGAAACAGGUGCUAAUACCGCAUGAUGCGUCUGGGCCGCAUGGCUCUGGGCGCCAAAGAUUCAUCGCUCUGAGAUGAGCUCGCGUCUGAUUAGCUAGUUGGCGGGGCAACGGCCCACCAAGGCGACGAUCAGUAGCCGGACUGAGAGGUUGGCCGGCCACAUUGGGACUGAGACACGGCCCAGACUCCUACGGAAGGCAGCAG